AUUGAACGCUGGCGGCAGGCCUAACACAUGCAAGUCGAGCGGAUGAAGGGAGCUUGCUCCUGGAUUCAGCGGCGGACGGGUGAGUAAUGCCUAGGAAUCUGCCUGGUAGUGGGGGAUAACGUCCGGAAACGGGCGCUAAUACCGCAUACGUCCUGAGGGAGAAAGUGGGGGAUCUUCGGACCUCACGCUAUCAGAUGAGCCUAGGUUGGAUUAGCUAGUUGGUGGGGUAAAGGCCUACCAAGGCGACGAUCCGUAACUGGUCUGAGAGGAUGAUCAGUCACACUGGAACUGAGAAACGGUCCAGACUCCUACGGGAGGAAGCAGUGGGGAAUAUUGGACAAUGGGCGAAAGCCUGAUCCAGCCAUGCCGCGUGUGUGAAGAAGGUCUUCGGAUGGGAAAGCACUUUAGGUUGGGAGGAAGGGCAGUAAGUUAAUACCUUGCUGUUUUGACGUUACCAACAGAAUAAGCACCGGCUAACUUCGUG
rnacentral:rRNA from 1 species